UAGCGGCGAGUGAAGCGGCAAUAGCUCAAAUUUGAAAUCUGGCACUUUCAGUGUCCGAGUUGUAAUUUGAAGAAGGUAUCUUUGGGUCUAGCUCUUGUCUAUGUUUCUUGGAACAGAACGUCACAGAGGGUGAGAAUCCCGUGCGAUGAGAUGUCUAGAUCUAUGUAAAGUUCCUUCGAAGAGUCGAGUUGUUUGGGAAUGCAGCUCUAAGUGGGUGGUAAAUUCCAUCUAAAGCUAAAUAUUGGCGAGAGACCGAUAGCGAACAAGUACAGUGAUGGAAAGAUGAAAAGAACUUUGAAAAGAGAGUGAAAAAGUACGUGAAAUUGUUGAAAGGGAAGGGCUUGAGAUCAGACUUGGUAUUUUGUAUGUUACUCUCUCGGGGGUGGCCUCUACAGUUUACCGGGCCAGCAUCAGUUUGAGCGGUAGGAGAAUUGCGUAGGAAUGUGGCUCGGCCUCGGUCGAGUGUUAUAGCCUUCGUCGAUACUGCCAGCUUAGACUGAGGACUGCGGCUUCGGCCUAGGAUGUUGGCAUAAUGAUCUUA
rnacentral:rRNA from 1 species